rnacentral:rRNA from 1 species
AACGGGUGAGUAACGCGUGAAGAAACCUGCCUUUCAGGUGGGGGACAACAGUUGGAAACGACUGCUAAUACCGCAUGAUACUUGCGAAUGGCAUCUAUUUGCAAGUACAAAGAUUUAUCGCUUUAAGAUGGGCUCAUGUCUGAUUAGAUAGUUGGUGAGGUAACGGCCCACCAAGGCGACGAUCAGUAGCCGGACUGAGAGGUUGACCGGCCACAUUGGGACUGAGAUACGGCCCAGACUCCUACGGGAGGCAGCAGGUGGGGAAUAUUGCACAAUGGGGGAAACCCUGAUGCAGCGACGCCGCGUGAAGGAUGAAGGUCUUCGGAUCGUAAACUUUUGUCUUCAGGGACGAUAAUGACGGUACCUGAGGAGGAAGCCACGGCUAACUACGUG